AGUGAACGCUGGCGGUAGGCCUAACACAUGCAAGUCGAACGGCAGCACAGUAAGAGCUUGCUCUUACGGGUGGCGAGUGGCGGACGGGUGAGGAAUACAUCGGAAUCUACUUUUUCGUGGGGGAUAACGUAGGGAAACUUACGCUAAUACCGCAUACGACCUACGGGUGAAAGCAGGGGAUCUUCGGACCUUGCGCGAUUGAAUGAGCCGAUGUCGGAUUAGCUAGUUGGCGGGGUAAAGGCCCACCAAGGCGACGAUCCGUAGCUGGUCUGAGAGGAUGAUCAGCCACACUGGAACAGAGACACGGUCCAGACUCCUACGGGAGGCAGCAGUGGGGAAUAUUGGACAAUGGGCGCAAGCCUGAUCCAGCCAUACCGCGUGGGUGCAGAAGGCCUUCGGGUUGUAAAGCCCUUUUGUUGGGAAAGAAAAGCAGCAGGUUAAUACCCCGCUGUUCUGACGGUACCCAAAGAAUAAGCACCGGCUAACUUCGUG
rnacentral:rRNA from 1 species